GGAGCAGGUGCCUCACAUGAUGAGAGGGGGAGCAAGAGAGAGUGGGGAGGUGCCGGGCUCUUCUAAGCAACCGGGUCUCAUGUGAACUCUUUGUAAGAGCUCACUGCUGCAGGGAGGGCACCAAGCCAUUGGUGAGGGAUCACCCCCAUGUCCAGACACCUCCCGCCAGGCCCCUCCUCCAGCGUCAGGGAUCACACUUCAGCAGGAGAGCUGCAGAGCACAAACAUCUGAACUAUCAGCAAGCUCUGGACAAAGAGGACGCUGACUUCUGCACGAACCCCUCCAGUUUCGGUGAAAUACUUCUCAAGGUACUAGUCUCAUCUUUUCCCAGAAAUGAAGGAUGGUCAGACUAUCUGGGAUUACAAGCAGAGAGCGAAAAUGUCCCUUUAACCCGAGGACACUGCAGGAAAGGUCCUUCUUCCCCUUGGGCAUUUUCCUCACGAUUGCUUUAGCCCGGCCCUCAGGCUAUGGAGUUCUCCUUUCCAUUCUGUGAAUACACUGGAACUGAAAAUAAGAUUUGGAAUAAACGUGUAUUUAUCAACAAAACAAAUAUUUCAUCGCUUGCUAAUUAUUAGUAAUUUGUAUUGGUUAGUUCUUGAAGGGAAAUUACCUAGAAAUGUAAGGAUUUAUGAAUACUGAAAAACAUAGACUAUCAUUUCUUUUAAUGUGUCCCUUUAGCCAACUUCAGGAAUACAAAGCUGAGUGGUUUCACCUCCCUUCAGUUUUGAGACGUGAUUUCAGCUCUGUCCGGGUUGAUGACAGAAAGUCACAUUCAAAUCUCUUGAUAUCAUAUCUAAAAAUCCUGCUUUAUGGCUUGGCAUGGUGGCUCACGCUGUAAUCCCAGCACUUUGGGAGGCCGAGGUAGGCGGAUCACCUGAGGUUGGGAGUUCAAGACCAGCUGAUCAACAUGGAGAAAUCCAGUCUCUACUAAAAACACAAAAUUAGCUGGGCGUGGUGGGCCAGCCUGUAAUCCUAGCUACUCGGGAUGUUGAUGUAGGAGAAUUGCUUGAACCUUUGAGGCAGAGGUUGUGGUGAGCCAAGAUUGUGCCAUUGCACUCCAGUCUGGGCCAAAAAAAAAUCCUGAUUUAUUAGAGAAACCUCCAGAGGAAAACAGCAUUUGAGACUUGGUGUGUGGUUAAUUGGACAGGGGAUGUGGAUCUGAGGGAGAGCUGAGUAUUUGUACCAGCAAAGGGACAGAAAGGGGAAUUUCGAGUAUCAAAAAAAAAAAAAACAAUAGGUGAUUAAACCUAUUGAAAAAAACAUAGGGAUAUGAAUUGCCUUGUAAAAAAAAAUCUGUAUUGAGAAAGAGAGUAGGAAAAAACAUUAGUUAAGGAAUGCUUUCAAGACAAAGUGAGUACUCAACAGG
rnacentral:lncRNA from 1 species